rnacentral:rRNA from 1 species
GAUGAACGCUGGCGGCGUGCCUAAUACAUGCAAGUCGAGCGAACAGAUAAGGAGCUUGCUCCUUUGACGUUAGCGGCGGACGGGUGAGUAACACGUGGAUAACCUACCUAUAAGACUGGGAUAACUUCGGGAAACCGGAGCUAAUACCGGAUAAGAUUUUGAACCGCAUGGUUCAAUAGUGAAAGACGGCCUUGCUGUCACUUAUAGAUGGAUCCGCGCCGUAUUAGCUAGUUGGUAAGGUAACGGCUUACCAAGGCAACGAUACGUAGCCGACCUGAGAGGGUGAUCGGCCACACUGGAACUGAGACACGGUCCAGACUCCUACGGGAGGCAGCAGUAGGGAAUCUUCCGCAAUGGGCGAAAGCCUGACGGAGCAACGCCGCGUGAGUGAUGAAGGUCU